AGACAACCCACUGAAAUCAAUCCUGCAAAAAAACCAAGUCCAAAACUUAAACAAGGAAAGCAACUGCAUACCCAAUUCAUUGUUAAUGGAUAAAACAUCACCAAUGGCUUAACGGGUGGGAAAAUGUAGGGUAUGCAUGUGCUUUGUAAUGGUUUUUAUGGAUGCUAAGAAACUGGUUAAUCAGCUUGAGUUUUAUUGUGCCAUGCCAUGGAAAUGGAUGAUUAGAGGGUCUGUGAAGAUGGGUUGUUUCGAUUUCGAUUAAUUGUUUUGUUUUAAAAUGUUGGGUUGUGGUGCUUUGCCUGUUCAAGUAUACUUUUCCUUCUGUAAGUUAGGCCUGCACUGGUUUGAAUAAUGUGAGAUUAGGGAAGGUGGUUCAAGUCAAGAUAUUAUUUUGGAGAUGGGUUUUGAUUUGGAUAUGCUUGUUGGUAGUUCUUUGAUGAAGGGUGUGUGUUUGAUGAAGCGAUCGAUAAAGAUUGUGUUUUGUGCAAUGUGGAACUUGCUGAAGUGGCUUCAAGAUAUCUCCUUGACUUGGACCCAAAUAUCUCUGGUUACAUGUACUUGCCGACUCUGAACAAUGGAGGAGCGUGCGUUGGAUACGACAUUUGACGAAAGAUAGAGGAGUCCACAAAGUUCCUCGAUGCAAUUGGAUUUGUGGUCACCAACACCUCUCAUAUGUUUUAUGCUGCAGAUGAAAGUCACCCAGAGUAGCCUCAGAUCUAUUCCUCACUGAAGAGUCUGCGCUCCUAGAGCUAAGAAAAGAAGGUUAUGUUCCUCAAGCUGUACGAACAGCUUCUUUGGAAAUGACUGAAUCUGGAGAAUCAGACAUGCAUGGCACAAGCAAUUUGAAGACAAACGCAGUCAAAGGGGAAAUCAAACAGGAAUAGGAUGGAAGAUAUUCGUGGCUUGAACAUCUUUCUUUGUUUGAUCUCAUAUCGAUCCAAAUGAGGUUAGAACAAAAAAGUAGUUUUCAUUUUCCUUCAUUGUUUGUGGUUUACUAUUAUUUUUUUGUUGUUGAAUAAUGAAAUUGGUUAACUUAUAUUUAAUUUUCAGCUUUAUAUUACUUUGUGUCUCGAAAAGUAGGCUUUCGCAAGUUUAAAAAAAUUCAGUGCAACAUGACAUGCUUUCCAAGAACUCACUGAGGGAAAGAACUUAACACAGAUUGCUCCAGUUUUUUCCCCUUGCUCACGCUCUAAGUUGGUAUUGCCCUAGGUAAACCUAUACUUCUUGUAAUGUGAGAGUUCUAAGUGAACAAAUGGCAAAGCCUCAUUAAUUAAUAUGGGAUUCGCUCCUAGUCGCUGCUCGAUGCCGCGGCGAGUACAUCGGUCCCGGUGCAGAAACUCACCUAAAAUGGACUACCAUGCACUCUAGAGGAUGCUUCCUUCUGGGACACAGUUCCACUAAUUUCUCGAAAUAGCUGGUAUGAAAUGAAGAUGGAGAUGACAUGUAUUAUCCAACAACUCCUGCACUCACCAUCAAGUUAUGAUGAAAAAUUAUCUUGCUGAGGGCACGUCAUCUGGUUUGCGGUUCCCAGCUUAUUCAUUGCCAUAUUUUUUUCAGUAUGUUGCUCUGUGCCCACACUUUCUUUCGCUGUGUAGCUCUCGUGUGCUUGCUUAGAAAUUACCAUGUCAAUUUCAGUGUCUUGUCCUCGCAACACCAUGAUUUUCCCCAUCUAAAUUGCACUCGACCGUGAACUUUUAUUAGUGUUUUGUUUGAACAAAUAUUAGAGCUCAUUAAUUAAUUGAUCAGCAGCUGGUGAUAACUCCUUUGAUCUAAACCGGACAAUUCCACAGUUACCAAUAUCUAGCCAAAGCAAUUGGCAUUUCACAGCUCUGGUGGACACUAUGCAAGGUUUGACAUCCUACUUGCAUUUCGAACUGGGGUUAGGGAGAUCAAUAGCAUAAAUAUUAGAGGUCUGCUGGUAUAUACAGAAAUUUUUUAUAGUUAAUUUCAAUGUCACUGCUUUGGCUUGCAACAUAUAGAAGACUACACUUGGAGAGAACUGUGUUAGUAGAUAAAAAUGAUGUUGUCUGCAACACCCUGACAUCGAGAACUAGAAGAGAAAAGUAAAGCAACAAAAAGACCUCAAUAAUCAACAAACUACUCGCAAGAAAUUCCCUAUUCCUGUAUUUUCUUUUUGAUAAGUUCUCAUGAUCUGUAAGCAAAAAAAAAAAAAAUAUUUGUAGACUGUCAAAGCUAAUUAGCAAUGACAAUGAAUCAGACACCCAGGUGUGGUUUUUAAUCUAUAGUAUGAUUACCA